GAGUCUGCAGUGGGGAAUUUUGCGCAAUGCUCGUAAGAGUGACGCAGCGACGCCGCGUGAAUGACGAAGGCCUUCGGGUCGUAAAGUUCUUUCGACAGGGAAGAAAAUGCCUAUAAGUAACUGUGUAUGUAUUGACGGUACCUGUAUAAGCAGCCCCGGCUAACUCCGUGCCAGCAGCCGCGGUAAUACGGAGGGGGCGAGCGUUGUUCGGAGUGACUGGGCGUAAAGAGCACGUAGGCGGUGUUGUAAGUCAUUCGUCAAAGACUAGAGCUCAACUUUAGUAAGGCUAGUGAUACUAUAAUACUAGAGUAUCAGAGAGGAUUGCAGAAUUCCUGGUGUAGCGGUGAAAUGCGUAGAUAUUGCGCAGAACUCCGAUUGCGAAGGCAGCAUACCGGCGGCGAUCUGACGCUGAGGCACGAAAGCGUGGGUAUCGAACAGGAUUAGAUACCCGGGUAGUC
rnacentral:rRNA from 1 species